AGUGAACGCUGGCGGUAGGCCUAACACAUGCAAGUCGAACGGCAGCACAGUAAGAGCUUGCUCUUACGGGUGGCGAGUGGCGGACGGGUGAGGAAUACAUCGGAAUCUACUUUUUCGUGGGGGAUAACGUAGGGAAACUUACGCUAAUACCGCAUACGACCUACGGGUGAAAGCAGGGGAUCUUCGGACCUUGCGCGAUUGAAUGAGCCGAUGUCGGAUUAGCUAGUUGGCGGGGUAAAGGCCCACCAAGGCGACGAUCCGUAGCUGGUCUGAGAGGAUGAUCAGCCACACUGGAACUGAGACACGGUCCAGACUCCUACGGGAGGCAGCAGUGGGGAAUAUUGGACAAUGGGCGCAAGCCUGAUCCAGCCAUACCGCGUGGGUGAAGAAGGCCUUCGGGCUGUAAAGCACUUUUGUUGGGAAAGAAAAGCAGCAGGUUAAUACCCCGCUGUUCUGACGGUACCCAAAGAAUAAGCACCGGCUAACUUCGUG
rnacentral:rRNA from 1 species